rnacentral:rRNA from 1 species
UACAGAGGUCUCAAGCGUUGUUCGGAUUCAUUGGGCGUAAAGGGUGCGUAGGUGGCGCGGUAAGUCGGGGUGUGAAAUUCGAUGCUUAACUCCGAAACUGCAUUCGAUACUGCCGUGCUUGAGGACUGGAGAGGAGACUGGAAUUUACGGUGUAGCGGUGAAAUGCGUAGAUAUCGUAAGGAAGACCAGUGGCGAAGGCGGGUCUCUGGACAGUUCCUGACGCUGAGGCACGAAGGUCAGGGGAGCAAACGGG